AAACGGAAGAAUGAAGGUAUAGUUUUGGGGUAUAUCCUAGUAUCCUACGCAAUAUAUCCAUUUCCCACUCUAACAAUUAUGUAACCAAACCAUCAACUACUGAGCAUACGUAUGCCUAACGAUUUCUGUGCUAUAGAUCGAUCCAUCCAUCCAUCCUAGUGGAAAACCCUGCGGUUGCUUCAUCAGUUCCUGGCCUCGUUCGUGCCACCGCUCGGGGCUGACGGCGGAGUCGGGGCCCUCGGCAGCAUGGCGAGCAGAAGCGGCGCGUACUUGCCGACGACCGCCUGGUCCUUCACCUCGCUGGACACGUCGCCGGCCGGCGGGAGCGGACGCGCGGCGGAGGCUCCUCGCAUGCUGACAAGCAGGAGAACAAGCACGAGGCAUGUGGCCACGCGGCUGCUUCGGGCGCUGGAAGAAGAAGAAGAAGCCAUUAAUUGUUUCGCCAGCGUCGGCGGGAGACGAUCGAUGGAGGGAACUUGCAGUGAGCUGACGCCUGAGCUGCUGAACAACGAGAGAUGUUUCUUGGAGAAGAAAGGGAGGGAGAUGGUCUGCUUUUUGUGUUUA
rnacentral:rRNA from 1 species